rnacentral:rRNA from 1 species
CCUCUUGACAUCCAGAGAACUUGGCAGAGAUGCCUUGGUGCCUUCGGGAACUCUGAGACAGGUGCUGCAUGGCUGUCGUCAGCUCGUGUUGUGAAAUGUUGGGUUAAGUCCCGCAACGAGCGCAACCCUUAUCCUUUGUUGCCAGCGAUUCGGUCGGGAACUCAAAGGAGACUGCCGGUGAUAAACCGGAGGAAGGUGGGGAUGACGUCAAGUCAUCAUGGCCCUUACGAGUAGGGCUACACACGUGCUACAAUGGCGUAUACAAAGAGAAGCGACCUCGCGAGAGCAAGCGGACCUCAUAAAGUACGUCGUAGUCCGGAUUGGAGUCUGCAACUCGACUCCAUGAAGUCGGAAUCGCUAGUAAUCGUAGAUCAGAAUGCUACGGUGAAUACGUUCCCGGGCCUUGUACACACCGCCCGUCACACCAUGGGAGUGGGUUGCAAAAGAAGUAGAUAGCUUAACCUUCGGGAGGGCGUUUACCACUUUGUGAUUCAUGACUGGGGUGAAGUCGUAACAAGGUAAGCGUACGUGU